rnacentral:rRNA from 1 species
CUAGCUACAGGCUUAACACAUGCAAGUCGAGGGGCAGCAUGGUCUUAGCUUGCUAAGGCCGAUGGCGACCGGCGCACGGGUGAGUAACGCGUAUCCAACCUGCCUUACACUCUUGGACAGCCUUCUGAAAGGGAGAUUAAUACAAGAUGUUAUCAUGAGUAAGCAUUUUCGCAUGAUUAAAGGUUUACCGGUGUAAGAUGGGGAUGCGUUCCAUUAGAUAGUAGGCGGGGUAACGGCCCACCUAGUCUUCGAUGGAUAGGGGUUCUGAGAGGAAGGUCCCCCACAUUGGAACUGAGACACGGUCCAAACUCCUACGGGAGGCAGCAGUGAGGAAUAUUGGUCAAUGGACGAGAGUCUGAACCAGCCAAGUAGCGUGAAGGAUGAAGGUUCUAUGGAUUGUAAACUUCUUUUAUACGGGAAUAAACGGAUCCACGUGUGGAUUUUUGCAUGUACCGUAUGAAUAAGGAUCGGCUAACUCCGUGCCAGCAGCCGCGGUAAUACGGAGGAUCCGAGCGUUAUCCGGAUUUAUUGGGUUUAAAGGGAGCGUAGAUGGGUUGUUAAGUCAGUUGUGAAAGUUUGCGGCUCAACCGUAAAAUUGCAAUUGAUACUGGCAGUCUUGAGUACAGUUGAGGUAGGCGGAAUUCGUGGUGUAGCGGUGAAAUGUUUAGAUAUCACGAAGAACUCCGAUUGCGAAGGCAGCUUACUAACCUGUAACUGACAUUGAUGCUCGAAAGUGUGGGUAUCAAACAGGAUUAGAUACCCUGGUAGUCCACACGGUAAACGAUGAAUACUCGCUGUAGGCGAUAUACAGUCUGCGGCCAAGCGAAAGCAUUAAGUAUUCCACCUGGGGAGUACGCCGGCAACGGUGAAACUCAAAGGAAUUGACGGGGGCCCGCACAAGCGGAGGAACAUGUGGUUUAAUUCGAUGAUACGCGAGGAACCUUACCCGGGCUUAAAUUGCAACCGAAUAUGGCGGAAACGCUAUAGCUAGCAAUAGCGGUUGUGAAGGUGCUGCAUGGUUGUCGUCAGCUCGUGCCGUGAGGUGUCGGCUUAAGUGCCAUAACGAGCGCAACCCUUGCCGAUAGUUACUAACAGGUUAUGCUGAGGACUCUGUCGGGACUGCCAUCGUAAGAUGUGAGGAAGGUGGGGAUGACGUCAAAUCAGCACGGCCCUUACGUCCGGGGCUACACACGUGUUACAAUGGGGGGUACAGAGGGCUGCUACCACGCAAGUGGAUGCCAAUCCCAAAAACCUCUCUCAGUUCGGAUUGAAGUCUGCAACCCGACUUCAUGAAGCUGGAUUCGCUAGUAAUCGCGCAUCAGCCACGGCGCGGUGAAUACGUUCCCGGGCCUUGUACACACCGCCCGUCAAGCCAUGGGAGCCGGGGGUACCUGAAGUGCGUAACCGCAAGGAGCGCCCUAGGGUAAAACUGGUGACUGGGGCUAAGUCAUAACA